ensembl:lncRNA
CGGUGACAAAGCGCAGCUCCUGAACUGCUGUCUUGGUGCGCCCCCCACUGCCGACCGCCAGAGGAGGAAGUCGCGACUCGUUUCAGCAUCUCCGCUGGCUCCGAUCCCGGGACUCUGCGGGGGGCGGCAGCCCAAAUCCCAUCCCUGAAGCCCACCUUCGCUCGUCUUAUCUUCUAGGGACCGGUUAUUACCUGUGAGAGGCUGGAAAAAGCAAACAGCUCUGAGAUGCUACCCUCCCCACUCCUUUGAGAGCCAGCAGAGAACAUUUCCUCUCAACCGGUCGAAGCUUACCUAAAGGAGGGUCACGCAGGUUGGAAGACGUUCCAGGAUCUUGGCCGAUCACACAAUUGGUUAAGUCGCGGGGCCGGGAGCCUUGGUUCCUGACGCCGAGCCGGAAGAGGGUGGAUCACCGCCCCAUUUCGAUUUCGCCGCCGCGCGGGCGGGGUCCCGCCACAGUCCCCAGCGAGGCUGGCCGGAAGAAGCCGGGCGGCCGGAGGCGGCUCUCCAGCCCGCAGGAGCGAGCGAGCUUCGAGGACGCGACCAGAGUGGACGGAAGGAGGCAUCGCUGCUCUCGGCCCGGUCCGAGGGGAGUCCCCCGGCUCCGCGUUCCCGCGGUGGCUCGCCGGGGCCGCGGUCCUGCAGGCCGCGCGGGUCCAUCCGCCCACGGCUUCGCGCUCUCCGGGCCCCGGUCCCUUUCUCCGAACUACGGUGCCGCCGUCUGACCAGCCUCGGAAAAAAAGCCCCAGCUUCCCAGAACUAUUGGAUAUCAUCCAUUGGAUGUGAUGGCAGCAGUAGGAAAACACAGAAAUCUGGUGGUGCUAAAGACUAAGCCUCCACCCCCUCCCCCCAACUCAGAAGCCAUAUUCACCCUAGCCGUGGUGACAGGUUGAUGACUCCUAUAACGGGCCCCUUUCCUCCUCUGGGGGGUUCCUGCCUCUAUGGAGCCUGGUGGAGGGGCCACCAGCAGGGCCGGAAACCUGGGGAGAACGUUUCUGGCUGCCACUGAUUUCUGUUCCUAGAAUUGUUUUUCUACAAUUAGAACCUUCCCUCCUUCAUUAUGUCUCCUGUGUUCCUGGAGCAGUAAAUACCAGGGAUAUGCAUUACAUUUCCCAUAACUUACUUUCAAUGAUCAGAAAAGCUUCUAUUAAUAGACGUGUUAUUGAUAGGGAACCUGGCUUUGAAGCUGAGAGUAAGGUUUCUAGAGCAGUGGUUACCUGCUUAGCACAGAGAUGCCCACCUCUCCAACUUCUGCUCCCUGGGCCCCUGUCUGCACACAGUACAGUAACAAGAGACAGCAGAUUAGUGGUCGAAAAUAUGGCCCCCAGAUCCAGUGCUUGAAUUCAGUCCUGGCAUUGCCCCUUAAGCUGGCUGUGUCUCUGUCUGUCCAUCUGUGAUAUGAGGAUGAUGACAAUAAUAAUUCCUAGAGUUGUUAGGCAGAUUAAUGAGUUCAUAUUUGUACAGUGAUUAGCACUCUGUAAGCAC